GGGCGGGAUACACCUGUGGGGCCGCGAAUGCUCUACUGGGUAGGUUCUUUUAGCAGCGUGCCGGGACCCACGGCUGAAUGGUAGACCCCGGGAGGGCCACUGAAGAGGCCUGAGGGUGGCCCUGAUUGACUUCUGUCCUUAGAGUGGGAUGUGGUGACCCCGCGAGAGACGAUGGCAGUUGUCGACGAGUUGGCCUUCCAUGAGUUUGAAGAAGCCACUACUCUGUUGGCUGAAAGCCCUGAUGCAGUCACCACAAGCAGAAAUGAUCAACUGACCCCACAGGGCCAUGUGGCUGUGACUGUGGGCCCAGAUGGUAACUACGGAGCUGAGGAUGAGGAGAGUGACAAGACUGCGCUCCUACAGGAGGAGCAGCAGCAGCCUGGAUUCUGGACCUUUGGCUACUAUCAGAGUUUCUUUGAUGUGGACACAUCUCAGGUCCUGGAACGAAUCAAAGGCUCAAUGCUGCCCCGACCUGGCCACAAUUUUGUACGGCACCACCUGCGGAAUCGGCCAGACCUAUAUGGUCCCUUCUGGAUCUGCGCCACCCUGGCCUUUGUCUUGGCAAUUACUGGCAACCUCACCCUAGUAUUGGCCCAGAGGAGGGACCCAUCCAUCCACUACAGCCCUCAGUUCCACAAGGUGACUGUGGCUGGCAUCACCAUCUAUUGCUAUGCAUGGCUGGUGCCGUUGGCACUGUGGGGCUUCCUGCGGUGGCGUCAGGGCACCCGGGACCACAUGGGCCCUUACACCUUCCUGGAAACUGUGUGUGUCUACGGCUACUCCCUCUUUGUCUUCAUCCCCACUGUGGUUCUGUGGCUUAUUCCCAUCCCAUGGCUGCAGUGGCUCUUUGGGGCGCUGGCCCUGGCCCUGUCAGCUGCCGGCUUGGUGUUCACCCUCUGGCCUGUUGUCCGUGAGGACACCAGGCUGGUGGCCGCGGUGCUGCUCUCCACCAUCGUGCUGCUUCAUGCUCUCCUGGCCAUGGGCUGUAAGGUUCGGUUCAGUUUUACUUCUUUCAGCCACUGCCUCCAGAGAAUAUGGCUCCUCCACUCCACACUACAUCUCUGACUCCAAAUACACAACUACCAUCUACUCUGCCAACGUCCAUGUCAACCUAAGAAGGGACCACCUACAGGCCUCACAUGAGCGGACACCUGUGCUUGCCCUGCCCCCACAGAUAACGACUAGUGGCUCCUUUGACACUUCAAGAUCACUCUCUACUUUCCAGACUUUUCUUACAAAGCAAACACUUUUAUUUUCUAUGCAAAGGUGAUUGAGAGUUUAUAUAAAGGCGGGAGAGGGACAGCUGAGCAGGGACCUUCUAGUGUGGCUCAGGCAGGAGGAUGCAGCUUCAGGGAGGCUCUGGGCUGCCUGCUGGGCCUUCUGCUACCCCUGGUGGGAUAGGUGGGAGAGCAAAAGGGCCACCUCAGCCUCAACUGUGCUUGCCCUCCCAGGAUGACCAAUUAACAGAGCCUUGGCCUAGCCUGUGCUCCUCC